rnacentral:snoRNA from 1 species
UCCCUCUAGAUUCCUUUUCCCACAAGCCUAGAUAGUGGUCUGAGUGGCUAAAACAAAGAGGAGGAAAAGUCAAAUUGAAAUGAACUUGUAGUCUUCAGUGACAAACAAGGUCAUCUCAAAUAAAA